CACAUCUGUUUCUUUAGAUGUCAGGAGGAUUUGUAGGUCAUCAGGACUGAUUGUGGUUUUGGUGUGAAAGGCGCUGUGUUGCUGUUUCAUCCGAGCGCAGGAUCUGAUGACAUUAGUGCCACAUGAAUAUUUUACACACUGUGUAGAGAUGAGAUCCAUCACUCUCGAACACUCUGCUCUUCCUCUAAAGCCUUGUGUGACUCAGGAGACGUCAUUCGCUUCUCAGGGUUCUCGGCCCAGCUUUCAUGUGCACAGCUGCUCACCUUAUAGCCGGCAGUACACCCACGGCCCGUCUGCAGGCUCCCGCCGGACGCUCAAACACACAGAUCACGAGGAGCUCUAGUACUGGUGAUGAUUGACUUCAACUCAUUACAAAAACCUAUUGUGGAACUAAUUGUCACAAACUCCUCCUGUAUCAUUGCGCAAGGGUGUGUGGGUAUUAUUUGCAUAAAAAUUCAGAAUUUGACAAUGCACUACUAAUAAUAUAAUAUCUGAGAAACGUUAUCUCUGUUUGGGUUUCAUUUAUAUAUAUAUAUAUANUAUACACACACAUAUAUAUAUAUAUAGUUAUUUUUGGAUACUUUUAUUUAGCAUUAAAUUGAACAACAUGUUACAAAAGAUUUAUAUUUCAAAUAAAUGCUGUUCUUUUGAACUUUAAUUCA
ensembl:lncRNA